rnacentral:rRNA from 1 species
CUGAAUUUCCUAGGGGGCGUCAAAGCCUACCGAAGAAUAUCAAACUCCGAAUGCCAUGUAGACAGGACCGGGAGUCAGACUGCACGAGAUAAGUUGGGCAGUCAAAAGGGAAAGAGCCCAGACCUACAGCUAAGGUCCCAAAGUGUGUGUUAAGUGGAAAAGGAUGUGGGAUUUCGAAGACAACUAGGAUGUUGGCUCAGAAGCAGCCACACAUUCAAAGAGUGCGUAAUAGCUCACUAGUCGAGAGGUCCUGCGCCGAAAAUGUCCGGGGCUAAAACACAACACCGAAGCUUAGGAAUGUAAUUAUACAUUGGUAGAGGAGCAUUCUUAAAGAGAUGAAGCAGUACCGAUAAGGAGCUGUGGAUUUUUAAGAAGAGAGAAUGCCGGAAUGAGUAGCGAGAUGGAGGUGGGAAUCCUCCAGGCCGAAUAUCUAAGGUUUCCAGAGUAAAGCUGAUCUGCUCUGGGUAAGUCGGGACCUAAGGCGAGGUCGAAAGACGUAGUCGAUGGAUAACAGGUUGAAAUUCCUGUACCGCAUAUAAACAGAACUGUGGGGACACAGACAGGGAAUGGAAUCCGGGGAUGGAGAACCCGGAGCAAGCGAGGUAGGAGUAUCAUUGGCAAAACCGUGAUACUGAUCUGAAGACGUGAUGCGUACCGAACAUAAGUAGGGAAGUCCAGGCCCCUGGCUGUCAAGAAAAGCCGCUAUUGUUUUAUAUGUGCCCGUACCGCAAACCGACACAGGUGGAUGAGGAGAGAAUCCUAAGGCCGACGGGAGAAGUAUUGUUAAGGAACUCGGCAAAAUGACUCCGUAACUUCGGGAGAAGGAGUGCCAUGAGAGUGGCCGCAGAGAAAUGGCCCAAGCAACUGUUUAGCAAAAACACAGGUCUAUGCAAAACCGCAAGGUGAAGUAUAUGGGCUGACGCCUGCCCGGUGCUGGAAGGUUAAGGGGAGAGGUUAGCGCAAGCGAAGCUUUGAACUUAAGCCCCAGUAAACGGCGGCCGUAACUAUAACGGUCCUAAGGUAGCGAAAUUCCUUGUCGGGUAAGUUCCGACCCGCACGAAAGGCGUAAUGAUUUGGGCACUGUCUCAACGAGAGACUCGGUGAAAUUUUAGUACCUGUGAAGAUGCAGGUUACCCGCGACUAGACGGAAAGACCCCAUGGAGCUUCACUGCAGGUUGAUAUUGGGAUUUGAUGCAGCAUGUACAGGAUAGGUAGGAGGCAAAGAGAUGGAUACGCCAGUAUUCAAGGAGCCGCUGUUGGGAUACUACCCCUGUUGUAUUGGAUUUCUAACCGGACGACGUAGAGCCGUUGACGGGACAGUGUCAGUCGGGCAGUUUGACUGGGGCGGUCGCCUCCCAAAGAGUAACGGAGGCGCCCAAAGAUACCCUCAGCUUGGAUGGAAACCAAGCGCAGAGUGCAAAGGCAAAAGGGUGUUUGACUGCGAGACCCACAAGUCGAGCAGGGACGAAAGUCGGGCUUAGUGAUCCGGUGGUAGAGAGUGGAAUUGCCAUCGCUCAACGGAUAAAAGCUACCCUGGGGAUAACAGGCUUAUCUCUCCCAAGAGUCCAUAUCGACGGGGAGGUUUGGCACCUCGAUGUCGGCUCA